CAACUCGCCUGCAUGAAGUCGGAAUUGCUAGUAAUCGCAGAUCAGCAUGCUGUGGUGAAUACGUUCCCGGGCCUUGUACACACCGCCCGUCACACCAUGGGAGUCGGUAACACCCAAAGUUGGUAGUCUAACCGCAAGGAGGACGCCGCCUAAGGUGGGAUUGAUGACUGGGGUGAAGUCGUAACAAGGUACC
rnacentral:rRNA from 1 species